UUUCCGUAGGUGAACCUGCGGAAGGAUCAUUACAGAGUUCAUGCCCUCACGGGUAGAUCUCCCACCCUUGAAUAUUAUACCUUCGUUGCUUUGGCAGGCCGUGAAAACACCAGAGGCUCCGGCUGAUGCGUGCCUGCCAGAGGAAACAGACUCUGUUUUUAGUGAUGUCUGAGUACUAUAUAAUAGUUAAAACUUUCAACAACGGAUCUCUUGGUUCUGGCAUCGAUGAGAACGCAGC
rnacentral:misc_RNA from 1 species